AUGAACGCUAGCUACAGGCUUAACACAUGCAAGUCGAGGGGCAUCAGGAAGAAAGCUUGCUUUCUUUGCUGGCGACCGGCGCACGGGUGAGUAACACGUAUCCAACCUGCCCUUUACUCGGGGAUAUCCUUUCGAAAGAAAGAUUAAUACCCGAUAGUAUAAUGAUUCCGCAUGGUUUCAUUAUUAAAGGAUUCCGGUAAAGGAUGGGGAUGCGUUCCAUUAGGUUGUUGGUGAGGUAACGGCUCACCAAGCCUUCGAUGGAUAGGGGUUCUGAGAGGAAGGUCCCCCACAUUGGAACUGAGACACGGUCCAAACUCCUACGGGAGGCAGCAGUGAGGAAUAUUGGUCAAUGGGCGUUAGCCUGAACCAGCCAAGUAGCGUGAAGGAUGAAGGCUCUAUGGGUCGUAAACUUCUUUUAUAUAAGAAUAAAGUGCAGUAUGUAUACUGUUUUGUAUGUAUUAUAUGAAUAAGGAUCGGCUAACUCCGUGCCAGCAGCCGCGGUAAUACGGAGGAUCCGAGCGUUAUCCGGAUUUAUUGGGUUUAAAGGGAGCGUAGGUGGACUGGUAAGUCAGUUGUGAAAGUUUGCGGCUCAACCGUAAAAUUGCAGUUGAUACUGUCAGUCUUGAGUACAGUAGAGGUGGGCGGAAUUCGUGGUGUAGCGGUGAUAUGCUUAGAUAUCACGAAGAACUCCGAUUGCGAAGGCAGCUCACUGGACUGCAACUGACACUGAUGCUCGAAAGUGUGGGUAUCAAACAGGAUUAGAUACCCUGGUAGUCCACACAGUAAACGAUGAAUACUCGCUGUUUGCGAUAUACAGUAAGCGGCCAAGCGAAAGCAUUAAGUAUUCCACCUGGGGAGUACGCCGGCAACGGUGAAACUCAAAGGAAUUGACGGGGGCCCGCACAAGCAGCGGAGCAUGUUGUUUAAUUCGAUGCAACGCGAAGAACCUUACCCAGGCUUGACAUCUAGGGAGCCUCUUUGAAAGAAGAGGGUGCUCUUCGGAGAACCCUAAGACAGGUGCUGCAUGGCUGUCGUCAGCUCGUGUUGUGAAAUGUUGGGUUAAGUCCCGCAACGAGCGCAACCCUUAUCCUUUGUUGCCAGCGGUCCGGCCGGGAACUCAAAGGAGACUGCCAGUGAUAAACUGGAGGAAGGUGGGGAUGACGUCAAAUCAGCACGGCCCUUACGUCCGGGGCUACACACGUGUUACAAUGGGGGGUACAGAAGGCAGCUAGCGGGUGACCGUAUGCUAAUCCCAAAAUCCUCUCUCAGUUCGGAUCGAAGUCUGCAACCCGACUUCGUGAAGCUGGAUUCGCUAGUAAUCGCGCAUCAGCCACGGCGCGGUGAAUACGUUCCCGGGCCUUGUACACACCGCCCGUCAAGCCAUGGGAGCCGGGGGUACCUGAAGUACGUAACCGCAAGGAUCGUCCUAGGGUAAAACUGGUGACUGGGGCU
rnacentral:rRNA from 1 species